CCAAACUUGGUCAUUUAGAGGAAGUAAAAGUCGUAACAAGGUUUCCGUAGGUGAACCUGCGGAAGGAUCAUUAACGUAAUCCGACGGGGCGUGGGGUCGAGCGGGCGUCUCCCCCCCGUAACACUACAAACCCACUGUGCACCUCUUCGCGGUGGAGGACGCGGCGCGAGCCCGUCCGAAGCCGUGGAACAACAAACUCUUCAGUCUCUGAAUGUCUUUGCGGACUCUGUUCCGCCCAAAACUGUGACAACUUUCAACAACGGAUCUCUUGGCUCUCGCAUCGAUGAAGAACGCAGC
rnacentral:misc_RNA from 1 species